UACGUAGGGUGCGAGCGUUGUCCGGAAUUACUGGGCGUAAAGCGCACGUAGGCGGAUUGUUAAGUCGGGGGUGAAAUCCUGGAGCUCAACUCCAGAACUGCCUUCGAUACUGGCGAUCUCGAGUUCGGGAGAGGUGAGUGGAACUGCGAGUGUAGAGGUGAAAUUCGUAGAUAUUCGCAAGAACACCAGUGGCGAAGGCGGCGCACUGGCCCGAUACUGACGCUGAGGUGCGAAAGCGUGGGGAGCAAACAGG
rnacentral:rRNA from 1 species